AAAAAGUGUUUGCCCACGGUCCAUGCAUUCAACACAUUCUUUUAUCCCAAGUUGAAAAAUGGCUAUCAAGCUGUUAAAAGAUGGACAAAAAAGGUGGACAUAUUCUCAAUGAACAUUAUAUUGGUUCCAGUUCACCUUGGAGUUCAUUGGUGUUUAGCAGUGAUAGAUUUUAGGAAAAACUCCAUCACAUAUUAUGACUCCAUGGGUGGUUUAAAUAAUGAAGCUUGCAGAAUAUUAUUAUAUUACCUAAAACAAGAAAGCCUAGAUAAAAAGGGAGUAUGUUUUGAC